UAAAUAAAUAAUAAAAAUAUAAACCCCUCCAGAGACACCCAUUGUUAUGGCAUCUCAGAACUCUGAGAACAAAGAGAAGAUUCUAGAGCAUUCCAGGUGUGGAAGUCACGAUCAGCAAUGAUCUUGGCAGGCUAAGAACGAGCCUGAGCAAGCGUCUGAGUAAAGUCCUUUCUUAUCUACAAUUCCAGCUCCACUAGACAAGGAGGAUGAAGGGAAAUUAAAGACACCUUCAGAGAACCAGAGUCCAGAGGAGCAAUUUACAAUCUGCUUCCUGAAAUCAGCUGAAAACUCCUGACAGGAGUUCAGUUCGGCCACUCCUAAAUCUGGUUAUAUAAAUUAUUCAAUAUAUCCUACUCCCUCCAUUCACCACCUUUCAGAUAAGACAUGGAACCCAAAGAAUUCAAGGAUGGUGUGCCCAUGUUCACACAAUUCCUAAGCGGCAAGAUGGGAAUUUGAAUAGAACCCGCCUGACAAAAGUCUGAAUUAACGCUCUUCUCCAAAAUGCCUAAAUGGAUGUGGUGUAGACAUGUGCAGAGACAGGAUGUUAGAAUAAAGCCUAGAAGAACAGAGAGAAAACAAGAAUAGAAGAAAGUGAAAGGCUGUCCUCCAUGGGUUCUGUCACUUCCCUGUGCGAUCAGCCCUCCGCCAGUCAACUCGGGUCAGCCAUGCACAGCCCAUCCCCAACCCCACAGCUCUUCCCCAACCUCUGGGAACCUCUGCCCCCCAACUGUGAGCACAGGGGAGGGAGUCCAGGUGGGUACCCACCUUUGACUCUGGGCUUCCCUCCCGCAGGAGACCCAACCAGCUCUCACUGGAAUCCUGAGAGCUCGUGGGGCCAACAGCCAUCCUGUGGCCCCCUGGGGGCUGAGGAAGGGCCACCAUCACGAAGGCAGAGCUGGAAAUGAAGAUGUGCGUGACCCUCACCUGUGUGGAACCAGGGGUAGGCUGGACUCACAGUUGGAGAGCUCUUAAAUUCACGCCCCUUUCCCUCUCCAACCAGACUGAGUGGGCAACGUCUUAGCAACUAAAAAACCAUUACAACUGCUCAGCACACAGACAAGGAAAAUGCCCGUAUGAUGGAAUCAGAAGCAGUGAAAGCUGAAUUUAGGUUUUUGGUCCAUCUGCACUCUUACAGAGGAGCAGAGGCCUAAAGCUUUCUGAGAGUCUUCCAGAAAACUGAGCAGAGGUGAGUGCAGCCUCAGCCUGUGGUGCUACAUCAUCCCAUCUCUGAAUAAAAGGAACCCUUUCCCGUGGCUCCUGUCUCCUUCUGAUACAACUCGGUCCGCCUUUCGAGCUUCCUUGUGUUCCUGUACAAAACAUGCCCCUGCCUCAUCUCGUGAACCAGUUUCCCCCCACCUGGAAUCAGCAGGGUUUCCAAGGAUCCGUGCCGACUGUCCUGGGGCAGGAUUGCCAGAUCAAGUUCUGUUCCGUGCCUCUGCUCACAGCUGCCUGUUUGGUAUAAUGUGAGGACUUUUCCAGAGAACCAGAAGACAGGUACUUCUUCAGGUAAAGAACAGGAAUUCAUAAGAAUGUUGCCAAUUCAAAUGUUGUAUCACAGGACUUAACGUUUGGUCUCAUACUUCUA